rnacentral:rRNA from 1 species
UGGGGAAUAUGCACAAUGGGCGCAAGCCUGAUGCAGCCAUGCCGCGUGUGUGAAGAAGGCCUUCGGGUUGUAAAGCACUUUCAGCGAGGAGGAAGGUGGUGAACUUAAUACGUUCAUCAAUUGACGUUACUCGCAGAAGAAGCACCGGCUAACUCCGUGCCAGCAGCCGCGGUAAUACGGAGGGUGCAAGCGUUAAUCGGAAUUACUGGGCGUAAAGCGCACGCAGGCGGUUGUUAAGUCAGAUGUGAAAUCCCCGGGCUCAACCUGGGAACUGCAUUUGAAAACUGGCAAGCUAGAGUCUCGUAGAGGGGGGUAGAAUUCCAGGUGUAGCGGUGAAAUGCGUAGAGAUCUGGAGGAAUACCGGUGGCGAAGGCGGCCCCCCUGGACGAAGACUGACGCUCAGGUGCGAAAAGCGUGGGGAGCAAAACAGGAUUAGAUACCCCUGGUAGUCCACGCUGUAAAACGAUGUCGAUUUUGGAGGUUGUGCCCUUGAGGCGUGGNUUCCGGAGCUAACGCGUUAAAUCGACCG